ACAAAAAUAAAUAACUCUCCUCCUCUCGCCUCUCUGCUCUUCCCACCCCCUCUCCCCGUUUAUCUCUCCCGUCUCCCCUCUUUCUCACUCUCUCCUCUCCGCUCAUCUCUCUCGCACCUACUGCUCUUCUUUCUCGAUCAUCUCUUGUGCACAUAUCUUCAAAUCUUAAAAUCGAUUAGGACAGUAAUUUGAGCAAAACCCCAAAAUUGAUUAAAGUUUUAAUUGAUUCUGUUAAAGCUUUUAUUAGAAGUACAGUACUCACAAAAUUGAUUUAAUGUGUUUCUCACAAAAUCUGUCCUAGAUUAUAUCAGUGUGGUGAGGAUGGCCAUUUUGCCAGGGAUUGUCAUAAUGCGAGCCGUUAGGAUUCGGGAUGUGCUGCUGCGAUAGGUUGUAUAAAAUACUGCUUAUAGUCAUCAAGCAGAGUUUUUCAAGGUGGAAACAAUGUAAAAUUUCACCAGAACAAUGCUCAGGAGCUGAAAAUUUAAAUGCAGACAAGAGGAUUUCAAUAUGUAUCGUAGUUGUUGAUAUAAGGUUACUUGACUUGAGCACUGAUAUAUAUGGAAGGAACAGGUACACUUCUUAAAUAAAUACCCUGGGAGAGCAAAGUUUGCAUGUAUACUGAAUCAUAACACCUCCAAUAACAUUAAAGAUGGAGCUUGGUGGAAAAGGGCAUGUACUGAUGCUAUUUUCAUCCUAAUAAUUACGGCUUCAGUGAGUCGGACAGGUUAGAACAGAGAAGGUCUAGUUCUAAUGGGUUGCAAAUGGAAGGGAACCAACCGAAUGAUGUUAGUAAACCUUUUUUGUCAUGAUAUGAGGCAGUUAAUAACUGCUUUGUGGAGCUCACUGAAGUUCACGUAGAAGAAGAUGAGUUGAACUGCUUUAUGGAGCCACUCAACAUAUGAUUUGAUUCUUAUGGAUUGUUAGAUGCCAAAGAGGGAUGGUUAUGAAACAACAAAAGCGAUAUGGAGAGCAGAGGUGGGCAGCAGUUCACUCAUCCCAAGUGCUUGCAAGUUGGCAUGGAUUUAAGCUAGCUCCUAAAGAACCAUCCAAGGCCGAAGGACGUGCACAAGCCAUUAUGGGUCAUCUAUAAGAAAUUAUUAUAACUAGCUAUUGUCGUGUAAAAAAAUGACAAGAUUUUUUUGUUUUUCAUUCUUUUAUUUCUUUCUUAUUUAAUUUUAGUAAAUUGUAAUCAAGGAAUUUUUAAAUGUGAUUUUUGGUUUGAUA